UUACAAGAAGAGCGUGAGGCAAACGGGUGGAGGCCCACCGUCUCCCAACCCAUCACCCAUGUGUAUGCUUAUCAGGGAUCUGAUCCCCCACGAUUUCUUACAGAUCAGAAAUCCAUUCGAUGGUGAUGCGGACAUUUCACAGCAAAAUUAUGAGACUGUGACAGUUUUUGAGUUCCUGGCUGGUGCCGGAGAGGCAAACGAAACCAACAAGUCUGAAGAACGUGAAGGGACACAAUAGUUUGACAUCCCAAACCCACCCGAGGAAGAUUUUCAACUGCUGGAACCAACUCAUGUCGAAAACACCACAUCAGAACACAUCCCACAACCAAGGACCAGUUUUUCUUCCUUGAGUACACAAACACCUACAGUUCCUGCUGAAAGGUUGUCAACCACCAAAUUAUGCCUCACCAGGACCCCUUCUCCAGCACCACCAACCAAAUCACUGGAGAUGACGUUGUGAGAAUAUGCCGAGAAAGAGCAACAUCUGA